rnacentral:rRNA from 1 species
UUAGGAAUUUUGCGCAAUGGGGGUAACCCUGACGCAGCAACGCCGCGUGAGUGAUGAAGGCCUUCGGGUUGUAAAGCUCUUUUAGUGGGGACGAAACAAAUGACGGUACCCGCAGAAAAAGCACCGGCUAACUCUGUGCCAGCAGCCGCGGUAAUACAGAGGGUGCAAGCGUUAUUCGGAUUUAUUGGGCGUAAAGCGCAUGUAGGCGGUUCGGUAAGUUUGGUGUGAAAUCCCCCGACUCAAUCGGGGAAGUGCAUUGAAUACUGCCAGACUAGAGGAUAGGAGGGGAGAACGGAAUUCCUGGUGUAGAGGUGAAAUUCGUAGAUAUCAGGAGGAACAACGGUAGCGAAGGCGGUUCUCUGGACUAUAACUGACGCUGAGAUGCGAAAGCGUGGGUAGCAAACAGG